rnacentral:misc_RNA from 1 species
AAAACUAAAAUAAAGUAACAAUACGCAGCAUGAAAUUCUGAUCAUGCCAAUCAAAUAAUGCCAUAUUCUUUUAUGAAGGGAAGGAGGGAAAAAAUAGUUAUUUGAAAGUAUUUUAGCCCUCAAGAAUAUGAGUGGGCCUCUAAAGGGUGACCUUAGCCCUUCAUCAGGCAUGGUUUAAAAUCGCGAUAACGGGUAAUGAAAAUAGGCCUGUAAUGGUCAUAACAUAACGGUAACAACUUGAUGCUACGCAAAAGUUCAUAGAAUGACUAUAUAUUGAUAGAUACAAGUAUAACUAAAAUACACAACUAUAUAAU